UUGACCUCGGAUCAGGUAGGAAUACCCGCUGAACUUAAGCAUAUCAAUAAGCGGAGGAAAAGAAACCAACAGGGAUUGCCCUAGUAACGGCGAGUGAAGCGGCAACAGCUCAAAUUUGAAAUCUGGCCUCGGCCCGAGUUGUAAUUUGUAGAGGAUGCUUCGGGCGCGGCGCCUUCCAAGUCCCCUGGAACGGGGCGCCAGAGAGGGUGAGAGCCCCGUACUGUCGGCCGCCAAGCCUGUGUGAAGCUCCUUCGACGAGUCGAGUAGUUUGGGAAUGCUGCUCAAAAUGGGAGGUAGACCCCUUCUAAAGCUAAAUACCGGCCAGAGACCGAUAGCGCACAAGUAGAGUGAUCGAAAGAUGAAAAGCACUUUGAAAAGAGGGUUAAACAGCACGUGAAAUUGUUGAAAGGGAAGCGCUCGUGACCAGACUUGCGCCGGGCCGAUCAUCUGGCGUUCUCGCCAGUGCACUCGACCCGGCUCAGGCCAGCGUCGGUUCGCGCGGGGGGAUAAAGGCGUCGGGCACGUGGCUCCUCCGGGAGUGUUAUAGCCCGGCGCGUCAUGUCCCCGCGCGGACCGAGGUUCGCGCUCUGCAAGGACGCUGGCGUAAUGGUUACUAGCGACCCGUCUUGAAACACGGACCAAGGAGUCGAGGUUCUGCGCGAGUGUUUGGGUGUCAAACCCGCACGCGUAAUGAAAGUGAACGUAGGUGGGAGCUUCGGCGCACCACCGACCGAUCCUGAUGUUCUCGGAUGGAUUUGAGUAGGAGCGUGGGGCCUCGGACCCGAAAGAUGGUGAACUAUGCUUGGAUAGGGUGAAGUCAGAGGAAACUCUGAUGGAGGCUCGCAGCGGUUCUGACGUGCAAAUCGAUCGUCAAAUCUGAGCAUGGGGGCGAAAGACUAAUCGAACCAUCUAGUAGCUGGUUACCGCCGAAGUUUCCCUCAGGAUAGCAGUGUUGUCUUCAGUUUUAUGAGGUAAAGCGAAUGAUUAGGGACUCGGGGGCGCCAUAUUGCCUUCAUCCAUUCUCAAACUUUAAAUAUGUAAGAAGCCCUUGUUACUUAAUUGAACGUGGGCACUCGAAUGCAUCAACACUAGUGGGCCAUUUUUGGUAAGCAGAACUGGCGAUGUGGGAUGAACCAUACGCGGGGUUAAGGUGCCGGAGUGGACGCUCAUCAGACACCA
rnacentral:rRNA from 2 species